rfam:Ictidomys tridecemlineatus contig012579, whole genome shotgun sequence.
GGGGUUGUGGCUCAAUGGUAGAGCACUUGCCUAGCAUGCACGUGGCACUAGGUUCAAUCCUCAGCACCA